UUGCUCGCUUCAGCAGCACAUAUACUAAAAUUGGAACGAUACAAAGAAGACUAGCAUGGCCCCUGCACAAAAGAUGACAUGCAAAUUCAUAAAGAGUUUGAAGGGGAAU